rnacentral:rRNA from 1 species
CGAGAGGGGGCAAGCGUUGUUCGGAAUUACUGGGCGUAAAGGGCGCGUAGGCGGCCUUCUAAGUCGAACGUGAAAUCCCCGGGCUCAACCCGGGAACUGCGUCCGAUACUGGAAGGCUUGAAUCCGGGAGAGGGAUGUGGAAUUCCAGGUGUAGCGGUGAAAUGCGUAGAUAUCUGGAGGAACACCGGUGGCGAAGGCGACAUCCUGGACCGGUAUUGACGCUGAGGCGCGAAAGCCAGGGGAGCAAACGGGAUUAGAUACCCCGGUAGUCCUGGCCCUAAACGAUGAAUGCUUGGUGUGGCGGGUAUCGAUCCCUGCCGUGCCGAAGCUAACGCAUUAAGCAUUCCGCCUGGGGAGUACGGUCGCAAGGCUG